GACGAACGCUGGCGGCGUGCCUAAUACAUGCAAGUCGAACGCAGUGGGGACGGGGGAGUAACACGUGGGUAACCUCCCAUCAGAGGGGAUAACACUUGGAAACAGGUGCUAAACCGAUACUGAUGGAUGGACCCGCGGUGCAUUAGCUAGUUGGUGAGGUAACGGCUCACCAAGGCCACGAUGCAUAGAGGACUGGAGAGGGUGAUCGGCCACAAGGGGACUGAGAAACGGCCAAGACGCCUACGGGAGGCAGCAGUAGGGAAUCUUCGGAAAUGGACGAAAGUCUGACCGAGCAACGCCGCGUGAGUGAAGAAGGUUUUCGGAUCGUAAAACUCUGUUGUUAGAGAAGCGGUAUCUAACCAGAAAGCCACGGCUAACUACGUGCCAGCCGCCGCGGUAAUUC
rnacentral:rRNA from 1 species